rnacentral:rRNA from 1 species
CCUACGGUGAGCAGCAGUAGGGAAUCUUUCACAAUGGGCGAAAGCCUGAUGGAGCAACGCCGCGUGCAGGAUGAAGGCCUUCGGGUUGUAAACUGCUUUUAUAAGCGAGAAAUAUGAUGGUAACUUAUGAAUAAGGAUCGGCUAACUACGUGCCAGCAGCCGCGGUCAUACGUAGGAUCCGAGCAUUAUCCGGAGUGACUGGGUGUAAAGAGUUGCGUAGGUGGCAUAGUAAGUAGCUAGUGAAAUCGGGUGGCUCAACCAUUCAGACUAUUAGCUAAACUGCUAAGCUUGAGACCGUUAGGGGUAACUGGAAUUUCUAGUGUAGGAGUGAAAUCCGUAGAUAUUAGAAGGAACACCGAUAGCGUAGGCAGGUUACUGGGACGGUUCUGACACUAAGGCACGAAAGCGUAGGGAGCAAACGGGAUUAGAUACCCUUGUAGUC